GCUGGUGUAGCUCAAUGGAAGAGCGGCUGCUUCGUAAGCAGCUGGUUGAGGGUUCAAGUCCUUUCGCCAGCUCCA
rnacentral:tRNA from 1 species